GGGGAUAUGACAGAAAGGUUAUGUGGCUGGCUUGAAACUAGUUUGACGGAAGUUCAAUUCUUCCUAUCCCUC
rnacentral:tRNA from 1 species